CCGCCGGGACGCGCGGCCUCGGGUUGCAGGUUCUGAGUCGCGCGCGCCGUGCACUCUGGCUCGGGGUGGGGCAGAGGACUCGCCCCCGAUCCUCCCGCGGAGGGCCCCCUCAGCUUUCUUGUGGUCCGGCGGCCCUGGGGCUCCUUCCUAACAGCCCCGGACUGAGUCCCCUCAAGUCGGGGACCCUCCCCGCUUCUUUAAGGAGGAGUGGACACCUGCCGCCCUAUCUCUCUAAAACGGCGUCUUCUCUGUGCUGUCCCCUCACACCCACACAGACGGCAGAGAGCUGCAAGAUGCCGUUUGCUCUCUUUUCCAACUCCAGAACCUUCUGAUCUCUGCUAGUUCUUACUGGCUCCUACCCCUUGCUCCGUCCACGCUCACAGGGAGACAUCCCUCAACCCCAUACAGCCUGGGCCUGGCUCCGAGCCUGCGGGCUGCUUCCGGACCACCUCCUCUCUUCACUCCUCCUCCCCCUCUGUCCUCUGACCCUCAGUCCCCUUGUCACCUCUAAGAGCCCCCGCCUAACCAGGAACCAGGGGGUUCCCCCCUACCAGGAUGUGAGCCCCUUUAACCUGUAAUGCUGUGGCUGGCCCUUGGCCCCUUCCAUGCCAUGGAGAACCAGGUGCUGGUGAUUCGCAUCAAGAUUCCAAAUAGUGGAGCCGUGGACUGGACAGUGCACUCUGGGCCGCAGCUACUCUUCAGGGAUGUGCUGGAUGUGAUAGGCCAGGUUCUGCCUGAAGCAACAACCACAGCAUUUGAAUAUGAAGAUGAAGAUGGUGAUCGAAUUACAGUGAGAAGUGAUGAAGAAAUGAAGGCAAUGCUGUCAUAUUAUUAUUCCACAGUAAUGGAACAGCAAGUAAAUGGACAGUUAAUAGAGCCUCUGCAGAUAUUUCCAAGAGCCUGCAAGCCUCCUGGGGAACGGAACAUACAUGGCCUGAAGGUGAAUACCCGAGCUGGAUCCUCUCAACACAGCAGCCCAGCAGUCUCAGAUUCACUUCCAAGCAAUAGCUUGAAGAAGUCUUCUGCUGAACUGAAAAAAAUAUUAGCCAAUGGCCAGAUGAAUGAACAAGACAUACGGUAUCGAGACACUCUUGGUCAUGGCAACGGAGGCACAGUCUACAAAGCAUAUCAUGUUCCAAGUGGGAAAAUACUGGCUGUAAAGGUCAUACUACUAGAUAUUACACUGGAACUUCAGAAGCAAAUUAUGUCUGAAUUGGAAAUUCUUUAUAAGUGUGAUUCAUCAUAUAUCAUAGGGUUUUAUGGUGCAUUUUUUGUGGAAAACAGAAUUUCAAUAUGUACAGAAUUCAUGGAUGGGGGAUCUUUGGAUGUAUAUAGAAAAAUUCCAGAGCAUGUCCUUGGAAGAAUUGCAGUGGCGGUCGUUAAAGGCCUUACUUAUUUGUGGAGUUUAAAGAUUUUACAUAGAGAUGUGAAGCCCUCUAAUAUGCUAGUAAACACAAGAGGACAAGUCAAGCUGUGUGAUUUUGGAGUUAGCACUCAGCUGGUGAAUUCUAUAGCCAAGACGUAUGUUGGAACAAAUGCUUAUAUGGCGCCUGAAAGAAUUUCAGGGGAGCAAUAUGGAAUCCAUUCUGAUGUCUGGAGCUUAGGAAUCUCUUUUAUGGAGCUUGCUCUUGGGAGGUUUCCAUAUCCUCAGUUAAAGCCAUCAGAUAAGUGGAGGAGAAACCAUCCAAGUUGUUAGGUUCAAGAGUGUCAGUCUCACUUUUCAAAUUAGUAGGAUUCUUUGUUUAAACAUAAUCUUUUCCUUAAAGAGAAGAUCCUAAGUGUAACCACUUGGCAUGCAUGCUCGCAUUUAGUGAGAUUUUACUGUGUACAGCCUUGCUGCUUAGCUCUAGGUAGCCCAUCAAAUUAAAAUCACAUUUUCAGGAUUUAUAGCUCAUUAGAAUAUUUAUCUUGGUAAGCCUCUUAUUCUGUCAGUAAUUUUUAAACAAUUCACUGUUUGGCCAGUGUACGCAAUCCCCUCAAAUUUUGUAAAUGAAGAGAAGAGGUACUAUAUAACUUCUCUCUCAAACAAGUCUUAAUAGAAAACUUGUAUAAGCCAUCUAAGAAAAAAAAAUACCAAAGAUUGGGAGUGUAGCUGUAUUCUUGAGAUUCCUAAUGCCUAGAGUAUUUAAUCAGCGAGAUUUGAUAAGUGAUAAGUCUAAGAAACGAUCGCAUUUGACAAAUGAAGCUUUUGAAGGCUCUGGUCGAAUUUAGAAAGAGGCUGUCUACCUUUGCAGUAUUGUUUUCUGGAAUGUUUAAGUAUAUGUUUACUUCAUCAGUCGAGUGGAAGUUGGAAAAUUCUAAUGUGCUGAACUCCCUAGGUAGCAAUCACUGUUAUGCCAGAGUGAGGGGAAAACUGUAUUCCUUGAAUCGUGAUAGAAUAUUGUCACCAAAUUGGGACUUUCAUUUCAAAUAAUAGAAGCAGCUUUGAUGCCAUCAGGCCUAUUUCCCAGGUCUUUCAACAGAAGUUUGUGCACUUCAUUGCUGGAAUCAUUAAUGACUUUUGAUGGAGUUGGCAUUUAUUUUACAGGGUUUGUACUAUAGACUGAAGAUUGGGAAAGGUUACUUUAUAGAUUCCUUUUCUACCCUUUUGCCUUCAAAUAAAGCACAUGAAGGAAAAUGUUUAUUUUUAUAGUAUCGCAGGGACUGGAUUAUGAAAUAAUACCUUCUCUUUGGCCUGUAUUAUCUCAUUUGAACCCCUAACCACUCUGUGUGAUAGCCUCCCCUCAUAAAUUGGACAAACAGGAUGGUUGAUUUGCUCAUUGUUGUACUGUAGGUGGUUUGGGGCCAUUGAAUCCCAAGUGGAAUAGGCAGGAGUGAAUCACACACUCUCAGGAGUAGAAAGUGAUCUCAGACAACAUCGAAUCAAACCUCUCUACAAUAUCUCCAAAAAGCAAAGUUGAACACCUCCAGUGAUAGGUAACUCACUAGUUUACAAAGCAGCCAUAGAGCCAAAGCUUUAUUUACCGGGCUGAGGACUGCCUCAUCUUAAUUAUUACCCACUGGUCUGGCCCUUGAACACAUGAAAGAUUUUCAUAUAGCCUUAAGAUCUCACAGUUUUGCAUCCCUUAUGUACCCAGGGCUGGGUACUCAAAGUCAAAUCAGGGAACCAGAUCUCAGCUGCCUUCACUAAUGGCAAGCUGAGGAGACUGGCCUGUUUGAAAGAACUCUAGACCAGGAGCUAGAAGAUUAGGAUUAGAACCCAGCUCUAACAAGCUCGGGUCAUUGCAGGCCUUAAUUCUUGCUUUGGCCUGUUUCCUCAUCUCUAAAAUGAGCAUCCUGAUACCUGCCUUUCCUAUCUGAUUAGAAGUAUGCAGAUCAAAUAAGAUUAUGGAUAUGAAUUUCUAAUCCUCAACCAAAGUUUGCAAGAGGCUGUGCUUGCAACCUGCCAGCUGCAGCUGGAGCAGAGUGUAAAAUGAGCAGAAGGGAAAGAGGGGAGGCAAGGCCAGCAUACAGACUCGUCCUUCCCCCAGCCCAGCGUCAGUGCUGCUGACAGCGUUGUUAGCAGCGUCUCUUCCUGCCGGUGACACAGUGUGUAUCUGGUGGGGAUGCAGAUGAGGGAGGGGUGUUGGGAAGAUAGCAGGGAGAGUCAGUAGCUGGGGACCAACAUAAAGGUUAAAGGACCGGAUUUUUGUUGAGAUAAUCAUUCUCCAUGAACUUCAUUGUUUGGGGGGUUGGGUUUUUAUCUGUUAUUUGAAAACACUGUCUAUUUUAGUUUCCUUUAGGCCUUAAAGUUGCGUAGCCUCACUGGCAUGCAGUUUAGGGCUCUAUGGAAAGAAAGGUUAGGAGCCAUUAUAGAUACACAGUCUUAUUACUACAGCUUAUAAUAGGAGGAACAACGAUGUCAGAUUCACCUAGCACCUUUCCGACAUCCAGCUCCAAAGCACUUGCUGUUAUCUGACUCGGGACUGUUAUUUCCAGCCUCCAGAUUCAGAAAAACCAGGGAUCUUUAAUGCCUCUCCAGCUUCUGCAGUGCAUUGUUGAUGAG